rnacentral:rRNA from 1 species
UUCGGCGGCGAUAGCGCAAAGGCACCACCUGGUCCCAUUCCGAACCCAGUAGUGAAACUUUGUUGCGCCGAUGGUACUGCAGGGUCGCCCCUGUGGGAGAGUAGGUAACCGCCGGAU